AUAUUGAAUGAAACUUCUGGCUGGAUGCUGUGUGCUGGUCCUUUGGGGCAAUGUGCACGCUCUGGCUGUUUGUUUCUUCUGUUCCACUGUGCACUGUCUGUAGACACACUGUGUCUAUGAUAUAUGGUUACACACACGCAUGAUGUUUGCAUAUUGGUUGGCAUAUUACAUAUGUAUAUGAUAUAUACAACUUUCAACAACGGAUCUCUUGGCUCUCGCAUCGAUGAAGAACACAGCGAAAUGUGAUAAGUAAUGUGAAUUGCAGAAUCCAGUGAAUCAUCGAAUCUUUGAACGCAUCUUGCGCUCCUUGGCAUUCCGAGGAGCAUGCCUGUUUGAGUGUCAUUAAACUAUCAAAUCACCUCUCUUGAGGUGCUUUGGACUUUGGGAGUAUUUUGCUGGUCCGUUUGAGCCAGCUCUCCUCAAAAGCAUUAGCUAUGGAGACCAUCAGUGUGAUAACUUUGUUUACACUGACUGAGUGUGUCUCUGCUUCUUAAAAUAUGCCCCCUUUGACCUCAAAUCAGGUAGGACUACCCGCUGAACUUAAGCAUAUCAAUAAGCGGAGGAAAAGAAACUAACAAGGAUUCCCCUAGUAACUGCGAGUGAAGCGGGAAAAGCUCAAAUUUGAAAUCUGGCAGUCUUUUUUUUCUUCUUUGGCUGUCCGAGUUGUAAUCUAGAGAAGUGCUUACCUGCGCUGGACCAUGUAUAAGUCUCCUGGAAUGGAGCGUCACAGAGGGUGAGAAUCCCGUCUUUGACAUGGACCGCCAGUGCGUUGUGGUGUGCUCUCAAAGAGUCGAGUUGUUUGGGAAUGCAGCUCUAAAUGGGUGGUAAACUCCAUCUAAAGCUAAAUAUUGGCGAGAGACCGAUAGCGAACAAGUACCGUGAGGGAAAGAUGAAAAGAAUCGUCGACCUGCAGGCA
rnacentral:rRNA from 1 species